ACCCUAAUUCAAUUUAAUCUUAUUAGUAUAAAACAAUUAUAAUUAGCUUCCAACUAAUAGAUCAUUUUGAUAAGAUA
rnacentral:tRNA from 1 species